rnacentral:rRNA from 1 species
AGGGCACCACCAGGAGUGGAGCCUGCGGCUUAAUUUGACUCAACACGGGAAAACUCACCCGGCCCGGACACCGUAAGGAUUGACAGAUUGAGAGCUCUUUCUUGAUUCGGUGGGUGGUGGUGCAUGGCCGUUCUUAGUUGGUGGAGCGAUUUGUCUGGUUAAUUCCGAUAACGAACGAGACUCUAGCCUGCUAAAUAGGCAGUGGAUCUUUAGUCCACUGUACUUCUUAGAGGGACAAGCAGCGUCUAGCUGCACGAGAUUGAGCAAUAACAGGUCUGUGAUGCCCCUAGAUGUUCGGGGCUGCACGCGCGCUACACUGAAGGAAUCAACAUGCUUCUCAACCUUGUCCGGAAGGACUAGGUAACCCGUUGAAACUCCUUCGUGAUUGGGAUAGGGAAUUGCAAUUAUUUCCCUUGAACGAGGAAUUCCCAGUAAGUGCUGGUCAUCAGCCCGCGCUGAUUACGUCCCUGCCCUUUGUACACACCGCCCGUCGCUACUACCGAUUGGAAGUAGACGAGA